CUACGUGCUGCACCAGGCGAGAAAACUUUGCAAUGUGCGAAAGCACGACAAGGUUAAUCCGAGUGGUUUGUGCUAAACGAACCUUUUGACAGUCCUAGAAACACUGUUGAAUAAGGGGUGGGCAAGUUCUGGUGUCAGCCGCCGCGGUAAAACCAGCACCUCAAGUGGUCAGGAUGAUUAUUGGGCCUAAAGCAUCCGUAGCCGGCUCUGUAAGUUUUCGGUUAAAUCUGUACGCUCAACGUACAGGCUGCCGGGAAUACUGCAGAGCUAGGGAGUGGGAGAGGUAGACGGUACUCGGUAGGAAGGGGUAAAAUCCUUUGAUCUAUUGCUGACCACCUGUGGCGAAGGCGGUCUACCAGAACACGUCCGACGGUGAGGGAUGAAAGCUGGGGGAGCAAACCGGAUUAGAUACCCGGGUAGUC
rnacentral:rRNA from 1 species